GACGAACGCUGGCGGCGUGCUUAACACAUGCAAGUCGAGCGGAAAGGCCCUUUCGGGGGUACUCGAGCGGCGAACGGGUGAGUAACACGUGAGUAAUCUGCCCCUGGCUUUGGGAUAGCCACCGGAAACGGUGAUUAAUACCGGAUACGACCACUUCUCGCAUGGGAUGGUGGUGGAAAGUUUUUCGGCCAGGGAUGUGCUCGCGGCCUAUCAGCUUGAUGGUGAGGUAAUGGCUCACCAUGGCUUCGACGGGUAGCCGGCCUGGGAGGGUGACCGGUCACACUGGGACUGAGACACGGCUCAGACUCCUACGGGAGGCAGCAGUGGGGAAUAUUGGACAAUGGGCGGAAGCCUGAUCCAGCAACGCCGCGUGAGGGAUGACGGCCUUCGGGUUGUAAACCUCUUUCAGCAGGGACGAAGCGCAAGUGACGGUACCUGCAGAAGAAGCACCGGCCAACUACGUGCCAGCCGCCGCAGUAA
rnacentral:rRNA from 1 species